AGCCCUCAUCAGAGGACGCCCAUCAUCAAGGGACAUUUGUCUCAGGGAGCUUACCGCAGGAGGAGAUUAGAAGUUACGAAUUUGGUGAAAUUGGAUUCAAUAAUUACGAUAAGAUUAUUUUGUGGGAGAGUAUCAAUCCGGUCGUCGUGAGCGAUUCGUAAACAACUGCUUCAAGUAUGUAGGAAGAUUAUUGUGAUCAACGCUGGACAGAUUGGAAGAAACCUUAACCAUGAGUAGCAGACACAUACACCACAUAUUAAUGAAAUGGAAAUAAAUGCGUUGCUUUAAAAAAUCAA